ensembl:lncRNA
CAGGAUUCCAUGGUUCAGCACAUAUCCAGCCCAGAGGGCAAAGCCAGCCUCCUCUUUUGACAAGUACUUGUCAUGAAGAGGGAGAAACAACAUGGAGGAGGGGAAAAAUUUUGACACUCAUCUCCUGUGCCUGCAAUUCAUAACUCAAUCUUGUUCAAUUGCUCUCUCUUUUGAAUAGAGUCUGGCAAUAGGGUGAAAUAACCAAGAACUCUACUACACCCCCUCAGAAGAACCAGAGGUAUCAGCUACCAUAUUUGUCUGUAUAUCCAAUAUUCCAGCCUCAACACCUUUCCUUGAAAAUCUAGAGGUCAUCAAUAAAAUGAAAAGCCAUUUCAUUCUAUUGGUGAAAACAGAAGCUUUUCUGCAGCAUAUCAAGAGUGUUAUGGAUUGAACUGUGGCACACAAAAAGAUAUGUUGAAGUCCUACCCCCAGUACUCGUUGUCACCUUACAGAGAAGUAGAGUAUUUGCAAAUGUAAUCAUGGUAAAAUGAGGUUAUACUGAACCAGAGAAGGUCCUGAUCCAACGUGACUGGUGUCCUCGUACGAAGAGAAAAGAGAGACACAGGGAGGAGAACACUAUGUGAAGACACAGAGAUACAGAGGGAAGAGGGCCACCUGAAGAUGGAAGAGGAGUUUGGAGUUACACUGCCAAAAGCCAAUAAACACCAGGGGCCACCAGAAGCUGGAAGAGGCAAAGGAAGGAUCUUUCUCUAGAGGCUUUGGACUUUGGUGUUGCUGGUAAUCCAUGGCUUUCCUUAAGUUGCAAUGGCAUAACCAACCUCUGCCUCCAUUGUCAUGCUCUCUGCCUGUGUCUUCACAUCCCUUAUAAGGACUCCAGUCAUGUUGGAUUGAGGGCUCAGCCUACUCCAGGAAGACUUCAUCUGAGCUAAUUACAUCUGUAACCACCUUAUUUCCAAAUAAGUCUGGCAAAGCUCUCAACUAGAUUAUACUAUAAAGAAUAUGAAUAGCCAACAAUUACGGAGUACUUAUUAGAAGUCAAGACUCUUCUGAGUAGUUUGCUUGGAUUAUCUCAUGCAAUCUCAAUAUUGGAUUUAGCCAAGGAAUAUCAUCUUGCUUGGUCAUCAGCAUGUAACUGAUGCAUCGAUACUUCUCAGCCAUAUUUAGCUAAUCUCACAUGUUCACACCUACUGAUCUCUAAAGGCCAGCUAGUCGACCAGAACUGAUUCUCAACUUAUCAGUAAUCAUGCAAAGUUUAUAGAGGUGACAUAGCAGAAAUUUGAUACCUAAAGAAGCGAAGUAACUGAGAAGUCUCAGAUAACAAAUGAUAAAGCCAGAAUUUAAACUCGUGUGUUCCUGACAUCAAAACUCCUACUCUUCACUGCAAUGUUCGACUGCCUAUCAAGGAACUCUUUACCUCCACAAGUCAAUAUCCAUCACCUCAUAUAGAUUGCUGCCACAGCAUGGCUGACAAGUAGCGUAGGUCCCUGCCUGGGAUCCAAGCCUGACAACCCCGGCCACUGAAACAGAGUGCAUGGAACUUUAAACACUCGGCCACAGGGCCGGCCCCCAUGUUAUUUUUAUUAAUCUUCCAAAUGUCUUUUUAUUGCUAAUAAAGUGUCUCAAGAGAAAAC